rnacentral:rRNA from 1 species
AUUAAGUUUAAUUUAAUAUAGGAUCUGCUCAAUGAUUUAUUAAAUAGCUGCAGUAUUUUGACUGUGCAAAGGUAGCAUAAUAAUUAGUCUUUUAAUUGAGGACUUGUAUGAAAGAUUUGAUGAGAAAUAAACUUUAUUAUUUAUAUAAUUAAAAUUUUAUUUUUAAGUAAAAAAGCUUAAAUUAUUUAAAGGGACGAUAAGACCCUAUAAAACUUUAUAAAUAUUAAUUUUAAUUUUUUUGGAUUUAUAAAUAUUUUAAUUUUAUUAUUUAUUUUAUUGGGGUGAUAAAAAAAAUUAUUAAACUUUUUUUAAAAUUUUACAUAAUUUAAUGAGUAUUUGAAUUAAAAUUUUUAGUUAAAGGAAAAAGUUACUUUAGGGAUAACAGCGUAAUUAAUUUUUUAAGUUCAAAUUUAAAAAUUAGUUUGCGACCUCGAUGUUGAAUUAAGAUUAAUCUUAGGUGCAAAAUUUUAAGUAUUAGGUCUGUUCGACCUUUAAAUUCUUACGUGA